rnacentral:rRNA from 1 species
GUUGUAUAGUUAAGUGAGAAAGCGUACAGGGCGGAUGCCUUGGCAAUCAGAGGCGAUGAAGGACGUGCUAAUCUGCGAAAAGCGUGGGUGAGUUGAUAAGAAGCGUUUAACCCACGAUGUCCGAAUGGGGAAACCCGAUAGGCGAAGAGCCUAUCAUUGCGAGGUGAAUAAAAUAGCCUCGUAAGGCAAACCGGGAGAACUGAAACAUCUAAGUACCCCGAGGAAAAGAAAUCAACCGAGAUUCUGUGAGUAGCGGCGAGCGAAAGCGGAGGAGCCAGUAAGUAAUAGCAGCAGAGAUAGAGGAAUUGUCUGGGAAGGCAAGCGACACAGGGUGAUAGCCCCGUACUUAAAAUCCAGGCUGUGGUACUAAGCUUACGAGAAGUAGGGCGGGACACGAGGAAUCCUGUCUGAAGAUGGGGGGACCAUCCUCCAAGGCUAAAUACUCCUGAUUGACCGAUAGUGAACCAGUACUGUGAAGGAAAGGCGAAAAGAACCCCGGUGAGGGGAGUGAAAUAGAACCUGAAACCCUGUACGUACAAGCAGUGGGAGCCCGCAAGGGUGACUGCGUACCUUUUGUAUAAUGGGUCAGCGACUUAUAUUUUGUAGCGAGGUUAACUGAAUAAGGGAGCCGAAGGGAAACCGAGUCUUAACUGGGCGUUUAGUUGCAAGGUAUAGACCCGAAACCCGGUGAUCUAGCCAUGGGCAGGUUGAAGGUUGGGUAACACUAACUGGAGGACCGAACCGACUAAUGUUGAAAAAUUAGCGGAUGACCUGUGGCUGGGGGUGAAAGGCCAAUCAAACCGGGAGAUAGCUGGUUCUCCCCGAAAUCUAUUUAGGUAGAGCCUUGUGUGAAUACCUUUGGGGGUAGAGCACUGUUUCGGCUAGGGGCCCAUCCCGGGUUACCAAACCGAUGCAAACUCCGAAUACCAAAGAGUAAUGCACAGGAGACACACGGCGGGUGCUAACGUCCGUCGUGGAGAGGGAAACAACCCAGACCGCCAGCUAAGGUCCCAAAAUCUAUAUUAAGUGGGAAACGAAGUGGGAAGGCUUAGACAGCUAGGAUGUUGGCUUAGAAGCAGCCACCAUUUAAAGAAAGCGUAAUAGCUCACUAGUCGAGUCGGCCUGCGCGGAAGAUGUAACGGGGCUAAAAUAUAGUACCGAAGCUGCGGCAUCAGGCGUAUCACUAAUACGCUUUAACGAUUAACCACUUGCGAAGCAAGUGGGUAAAGCGAAAAACACGUUGAGUGUAAUGGCAAAGAAUCGAAGAGGGAUAUUAGUGAUACGUCUGUUGGGUAGGGGAGCGUUGUGUAAGCGGAAGAAGGUGAUUUGAGAAGAUUGCUGGACGUAUCACAAGUGCGAAUGCUGACAUAAGUAACGAUAAAACGGGUGAAAAACCCGUUCGCCGGAAGACCAAGGGUUCCUGUCCAACGUUAAUCGGGGCAGGGUGAGUCGGCCCCUAAGGCGAGGCUGAAAAGCGUAGUCGAUGGGAAACGGGUUAAUAUUCCCGUACUUGGUAAAGCUGCGAUGUGGGGACGGAGAAGGUUAGGUUAUCGACCUGUUGGAGAUGGUCGUUUAAGUUGGUAGGUGGGUAAGUUAGGCAAAUCCGGCUCACCGUUAACACUGAGAGAUGAUGACGAGGCACCAAGGUGCUGAAGUAACUGAUACCACACUUCCAGGAAAAGCCACUAAGCUUCAGGCUUUACUAAACCGUACUGAAAACCGACACAGGUGGUCAGGUAGAGAAUACUCAGGCGCUUGAGAGAACUCGGGUGAAGGAACUAGGCAAAAUAGCACCGUAACUUCGGGAGAAGGUGUGCCGGCGUAGAUUGUAGUGACUUGCUCACGAAGGUUGAACCGGUCGAAGAUACCAGCUGGCUGCAACUGUUUAUUAAAAACACAGCACUCUGCAAACACGAAAGUGGACGUAUAGGGUGUGAUGCCUGCCCGGUGCUGGAAGGUUAAUUGAUGGUGUAAUCGAAAGAGAAGCUCCUGAUCGAAGCCCCAGUAAACGGCGGCCGUAACUAUAACGGUCCUAAGGUAGCGAAAUUCCUUGUCGGGUAAGUUCCGACCUGCACGAAUGGCAUAAUGAUGGCCAGGCUGUCUCCACCCGAGACUCAGUGAAAUUGAAAUCGCCGUGAAGAUGCGGUGUACCCGCGGCUAGACGGAAAGACCCCGUGAACCUUUACUAUAGCUUGACACUGAACCUUGAAUUUUGAUGUGUAGGAUAGGUGGGAGACUGUGAAGCGGUAACGCCAGUUAUCGUGGAGUCGUUGUUGAAAUACCACCCUUUAACGUUUGAUGUUCUAACGAAGUGCCUGAAACGGGUACUCGGACAGUGUCUGGUGGGUAGUUUGACUGGGGCGGUCUCCUCCCAAAGAGUAACGGAGGAGCACGAAGGUUUGCUAAUGACGGUCGGACAUCGUCAGGUUAGUGCAAUGGUAUAAGCAAGCUUAACUGCGAGACAGACAAGUCGAGCAGGUGCGAAAGCAGGUCAUAGUGAUCCGGUGGUUCUGAAUGGAAGGGCCAUCGCUCAACGGAUAAAAGGUACUCCGGGGAUAACAGGCUGAUACCGCCCAAGAGUUCAUAUCGACGGCGGUGUUUGGCACCUCGAUGUCGGCUCAUCACAUCCUGGGGCUGAAGUAGGUCCCAAGGGUAUGGCUGUUCGCCAUUUAAAGUGGUACGCGAGCUGGGUUUAGAACGUCGUGAGACAGUUCGGUCCCUAUCUGCCGUGGGCGUUGGAGAAUUGAGAGGGGCUGCUCCUAGUACGAGAGGACCGGAGUGGACGCAUCACUGGUGUACCAGUUGUCUCGCCAGAGGCACUGCUGGGUAGCUAAAUGCGGAAGAGAUAAGUGCUGAAAGCAUCUAAGCACGAAACUUGCCUCAAGAUGAGUUCUCCCUGACUUAAAGUCAGUAAGGGUUGUUGGAGACGACGACGUAGGUAGGCUGGGUGUGUAAGCGGUGUGAGCCGUUGAGCUAACCAGUACUAAUUGCCCGAGAGGCUUAACUAUACAACGCUCAAGGGUUUUG